AUUGAACGCUGGCGGCAUGCUUUACACAUGCAAGUCGAACGGUAACAGGCCGCAAGGUGCUGACGAGUGGCGAACGGGUGAGUAAUGCAUCGGAACGUGCCCAGUCGUGGGGGGUAACUACUCGAAAGAGUAGCUAAUACCGCAUACGAUCUAUGGAUGACAGCGGGGGACCGUAAGGCCUCGGGCGAUUGGAGCGGCCGAUGUCAGAUGAGGUAGUUGGUGGGGUAAAGGCUCACCAAGCCAACGAUCUGUAGCUGGUCUGAGAGGACGACCAGCCACACUGGGACUGAGACACGGCCCAGACUCCUACGGGAGGCAGCAGUGGGGAAUUUUGGACAAUGGGCGCAAGCCUGAUCCAGCAAUGCCGCGUGCAGGAAGAAGGCCUUCGGGUUGUAAACUGCUUUUGUCCGGAACGAAACGGCUAUAGUUAAUACCCGGGGCUAAUGACGGUACCGUAAGAAUAAGCACCGGCUAACUACGUG
rnacentral:rRNA from 1 species